rnacentral:rRNA from 3 species
CAAAUAUGAAGGCGGGCUGGAACCUCUCGGGGUUACAGCCUUGCUGAAUUAUUCACCCUUGUCUUUUGCGUACUUCUUGUUUCCUUGGUGGGUUCGCCCACCACUAGGACAAACAUAAACCUUUUGUAAUUGCAAUCAGCGUCAGUAACAAAUUAAUAAUUACAACUUUCAACAACGGAUCUCUUGGUUCUGGCAUCGAUGAAGAACGCAGCGAAAUGCGAUAAGUAGUGUGAAUUGCAGAAUUCAGUGAAUCAUCGAAUCUUUGAACGCACAUUGCGCCCUUUGGUAUUCCAAAGGGCAUGCCUGUUCGAGCGUCAUUUGUACCCUCAAGCUUUGCUUGGUGUUGGGCGUCUUGUCUCUAGCUUUGCUGGAGACUCGCCUUAAAGUAAUUGGCAGCCGGCCUACUGGUUUCGGAGCGCAGCACAAGUCGCACUCUCUAUCAGCAAAGGUCUAGCAUCCAUUAAGCCUUUUUUCAACUUUUGACCUCGGAUCAGGUAGGGAUACCCGCUGAACUUAAGCAUAUCAAUAAGCGGAGGA